GACGAACGCUGGCGGCGUGCUUAACACAUGCAAGUCGAACGGAAAGGCCCUGCUUUUGUGGGGUGCUCGAGUGGCGAACGGGUGAGUAACACGUGAGUAACCUGCCCUUGACUUUGGGAUAACUUCAGGAAACUGGGGCUAAUACCGGAUAGGAGCUCCUGCUGCAUGGUGGGGGUUGGAAAGUUUCGGCGGUUGGGGAUGGACUCGCGGCUUAUCAGCUUGUUGGUGGGGUAGUGGCUUACCAAGGCUUUGACGGGUAGCCGGCCUGAGAGGGUGACCGGCCACAUUGGGACUGAGAUACGGCCCAGACUCCUACGGGAGGCAGCAGUGGGGAAUAUUGCACAAUGGGCGGAAGCCUGAUGCAGCAACGCCGCGUGCGGGAUGACGGCCUUCGGGUUGUAAACCGCUUUCGCCUGUGACGAAGCGUGAGUGACGGUAAUGGGUAAAGAAGCACCGGCUAACUACGUGCCAGCAGCCGCGGUGAUACGUAGGGUGCGAGCGUUGUCCGGAUUUAUUGGGCGUAAAGGGCUCGUAGGUGGUUGAUCGCGUCGGAAGUGUAAUCUUGGGGCUUAACCCUGAGCGUGCUUUCGAUACGGGUUGACUUGAGGAAGGUAGGGGGGAAUGGAAUUCCUGGUGGAGCGGUGGAAUGCGCAGAUAUCAGGAGGAACACCAGUGGCGAAGGCGGUUCUCUGGGCCUUUCCUGACGCUGAGGAGCGAAAGCGUGGGGAGCGAACAGGCUUAGAUACCCUGGUAGUCCACGCUGUAAACGGUGGGUACUAGGUGUGGGGUCCAUUCCACGGGUUCCGUGCCGUAGCUAACGCUUUAAGUACCCCGCCUGGGGAGUACGGCCGCAAGGCUAAAACUCAAAGGAAUUGACGGGGCCCCGCACAAGCGGCGGAGCAUGCGGAUUAAUUCGAUGCAACGCGUAGAACCUUACCUGGGUUUGACAUGGAUCGGGAGUGCUCAGAGAUGGGUGUGCCUCCUUUGGGGUCGGUUCACAGGUGGUGCAUGGCUGUCGUCAGCUCGUGUCGUGAGAUGUUGGGUUAAGUCCCGCAACGAGCGCAACCCUUGUUCACUGUUGCCAGCACGUUAUGGUGGGGACUCAGUGGAGACCGCCGGGGUCAACUCGGAGGAAGGUGGGGAUGACGUCAAGUCAUCAUGCCCCUUAUGUCCAGGGCUUCACGCAUGCUACAAUGGCUGGUACAGAGAGUGGCGAGCCUGUGAGGGUGAGCGAAUCUCGGAAAGCCGGUCUCAGUUCGGAUUGGGGUCUGCAACUCGACCUCAUGAAGUCGGAGUCGCUAGUAAUCGCAGAUCAGCAACGCUGCGGUGAAUACGUUCCCGGG
rnacentral:rRNA from 1 species